UGACGAGUUUUGAUCCUGGCUCGGAUUGAACGCUGGCGGAAUGCUUUACACAUGCAAGUCGAACGCUCUAGCAAUAGAGAGUGGCGCACGGGUGAGUAAUAUAUCGGAACGUGCCCAGUCGUGGGGGUAUAACGUAGCGAAAGUUACGCUAAUACCGCAUACGAUCUAAGGAUGAAAGCGGGGUAUCGCAAGACCUCGCGCGAUUGGAGCGGCCGAUAUCAGA
rnacentral:rRNA from 1 species